rnacentral:lncRNA from 1 species
AAGAGGAGUCACUACUUCGAGAACCACAAACCAACCAACCUUUUUAUUUAUAACAAAAGGAACAACAUGAGGUCAUUAUGUUAGCGUUAGGGCCAUUAACAGCUAAAAUAUCACGUUGUGUGUAAUGCAUCUAACCACAGUUAUCGAUUCUAACAUGACUUCGAGGGUGUGAAGGUCAUAUGGCAUCAUCCCAAUUUGUUCAUUUCAAUCCUCUCCCUUUUUUUGAUUUUAUAGCACUUCUCGUCUUGUUCAUUUUCCUUCCCCUUUUUCUUUCUGAUUAU